GGCAUGGGCGCAGCUUAACAUGCAGUCGAACGGUAACAGGGAGCUUGCUCCGCUGACGAGUGGCGAACGGGUGAGUAAUACAUCGGAACGUGCCCAGUAAUGGGGGAUAGCUCGGCGAAAGCCGGAUUAAUACCGCAUACGCCCUGAGGGGGAAAGUGGGGGACCGCAAGGCCUCACGUUAUUGGAGCGGCCGAUGGCUGAUUAGCUAGUUGGUAGGGUAAAGGCCUACCAAGGCGACGAUCAGUAGCUGGUCUGAGAGGACGAUCAGCCACACUGGGACUGAGACACGGCCCAGACUCCUACGGGAGGCAGCAGUGGGGAAUUUUGGACAAUGGGGGAAACCCUGAUCCAGCAAUGCCGCGUGUGCGAAGAAGGCCUUCGGGUUGUAAAGCACUUUUGUCAGGGAAGAAAUCCUUUGGGCUAAUACCCUAGGGGGAUGACGGUACCUGAAGAAUAAGCACCGGCUAACUACGUGCCAGCAGCCGCGGUAAUACGUAGGGUGCAAGCGUUAAUCGGAAUUACUGGGCGUAAAGCGUGCGCAGGCGGUUGUGUAAGACAGGUGUGAAAUCCCCGGGCUUAACCUGGGAAUUGCAUUUGUGACUGCACGACU
rnacentral:rRNA from 1 species